UAACACGUGGAUAACCUACCUAUAAGAUUNNGAUAACUUCGGGAAACCGGAGCUAAUACCGGAUAAUAUUUUGAACCGCAUGGUUCAAAAGUGAAAGACGGUCUUGCUGUCACUUAUAGAUGGAUCCGCGCUGCAUUAGCUAGUUGGUAAGGUAACGGCUUACCAAGGCAACGAUGCAUAGCCGACCUGAGAGGGUGAUCGGCCACACUGGAACUGAGACACGGUCCAGACUCCUACGGGAGGCAGCAGUAGGGAAUCUUCCGCAAUGGGGCGAAAGCCUGACGGAGCAACGCCGCGUGAGUGAUGAAGGUCUUCGGAUCGUAAAACUCUGUUAUUAGGGAAGAACAUAUGUGUAAGUAACUGUGCACAUCUUGACGGUACCUAAUCAGAAAGCCACGGCUAACUACGUGCCAGCAGCCGCGGUAAUACGUAGGUGGCAAGCGUUAUCCGGAAUUAUUGGGCGUAAAGCGCGCGUAGGCGGUUUUUUAAGUCUGAUGUGAAAGCCCACGGCUCAACCGUGGAGGGUCAUUGGAAACUGGAAAACUUGAGUGCAGAAGAGGAAAGUGGAAUUCCAUGUGUAGCGGUGAAAUGCGCAGAGAUAUGGAGGAACACCAGUGGCGAAGGCGACUUUCUGGUCUGUAACUGACGCUGAUGUGCGAAAGCGUGGGGAUCAAACAGGAUUAGAUACCCUGGUAGUCCACGCCGUAAACGAUGAGUGCUAAGUGUUAGGGGGUUUCCGCCCCUUAGUGCUGCAGCUAACGCAUUAAGCACUCCGCCUGGGGAGUACGACCGCAAGGUUGAAACUCAAAGGAAUUGACGGGGACCCGCACAAGCGGUGGAGCAUGUGGUUUAAUUCGAAGCAACGCGAAGAACCUUACCAAAUCUUGACAUCCUUUGACAACUCUAGAGAUAGAGCCUUCCCCUUCGGGGGACAAAGUGACAGGUGGUGCAUGGUUGUCGUCAGCUCGUGUCGUGAGAUGUUGGGUUAAGUCCCGCAACGAGCGCAACCCUUAAGCUUAGUUGCCAUCAUUAAGUUGGGCACUCUAAGUUGACUGCCGGUGACAAACCGGAGGAAGGUGGGGAUGACGUCAAAUCAUCAUGCCCCUUAUGAUUUGGGCUACACACGUGCUACAAUGGACAAUACAAAGGGCAGCGAAACCGCGAGGUCAAGCAAAUCCCAUAAAGUUGUUCUCAGUUCGGAUUGUAGUCUGCAACUCGACUACAUGAAGCUGGAAUCGCUAGUAAUCGUAGAUCAGCAUGCUACGGUGAAUACGUUCCCGGGUCUUGUACACACCGCCCGUCACACCACGAGAGUUUGUAACACCCGAAGCCGGUGGAGUAACCUUUUAGGAGCUAGCCGUCGAAG
rnacentral:rRNA from 1 species